UUGUCGAAAGCUGAACAAAAUUCCUAUCACUUUAAAUUAACCGAAAAAUUUCUGGUUUAUCUUUAGUUUCCAAGUACCAAUAAAAAUGAAUUCUGAACGUUCACAGCAAAGCCUAUCGAAGCCGGUUCUAAUCAAAGUAGUUAGCAAGGAGCAAAGGUCCGUGGGCGUACAGUUUCCUUCGGUCCCGAUCAUAAAGAAGUGUAGCUAAAACGGAAAUCCGGAAGAGCUUAGACCUCAAGCCGUCACAUCAUACAAUAAGACGAAGCAUUGUUUACAUUCUUUAUAAUGAUGGGGUGGGAAGAGGUAACACAGUUCAACUGCUUUAUCCAGUCUGUAGAGCAAAUUGAAGGCCCAGGCGAAGGAGCUGGACACCGAUUAGAUGAAGUGAUCUAAGAAGACAGCUUCAUGAUCUAAAUAGCGUCUAUACACAAACAUAAUUCCCAAAUUGUUGUGCUAUAACAUUUGUAUACAUCUGGAUAUCUAAUUAUUAAAACAAUUUCUGAUUGAAACGUUA